UUUACAGGAUGAAGUCAUAAAACAAAAUAACCUAUUCACUAAGUAGAACCUAGUGCAAGUAAUUAGGACAUGGGGGCAUUGACUUUGGUUUUGAGGAGUGAAUUCUUAUGAGAGCCUAUUGUCCUAAAGUCAUCCACAUGCUUGAUCUUGUCUGUGUGUGGUUGGUUCCUUUAUGUUUCUCCACUAUGUUAUGACACAGUGAAGGGGCCCUCGACAGACUCAGCAUCAUAUUCAUGACCUUCAGAACUGUGAGCUAAAUAACUUUUCUUUAGAAAAUAAAAUACUUAGCCUUAUUACAGUAACACAAAUAGAUUAUUACAUUGGAAAGCCCUACAUUUCUAGCAUACACACACACACACACACACACACACACACACACACACACAUCUCUGCCAUACCUAAGCCAGAUAUCAGUAGUGAGACCAAAGUCAGAAGACCACUUCAAUUGUGCUCUUCCCUCAUUGAAAACUACAAAAUUGUGGACCCUCACUGGAGGAAUAAGAAUUGGAAAAAUCUGACCAUUCACAGAGGGUCGUGUUGGCUGCAGGGUAUCAUUGCCAACGAUGGCUAAACCCCCAAUCCAGCACCACUCUGGACUACUGGCAGAAGCAAUGAUCUCAUGUUCCACUCACGGCAGCCCAGAGCUCCUUGGAUACUGCUGAUUCCUGGGCUGUGUCCAUCAGGGUAGAAGAAGACUCUCCUUGACGUGUAUUUGUUAUAGUGAUGGAAAGCUGACUGAUACAUAGGCCUUUCUGAAUGGAAGUUGCUGCCUGGAGAAAUAGAGAAUUUCUGCUGAUGGCUAGGACUAGUAGAAGCAGAUUCAUAUCAUGAGGACUGCAAGGCGCCCCCAACCCCUAAUGAAGACACGACUGGAAAUUCUGCCUUGUGCCUUCCUGGAUGCAAGCAUCAGGCUAACGCCUUUGGACAUAUAAACAGAAUCCUUACAAUAAGCCUGGGGAUCAUCACUAUCUCCAUUGUACAGAUGAGGCUUGCAGAUGAUGACACAGAGUGGCUGAGUGAUCUGCCACUACUACAUGCUUAUAUUUAAACCCUGGUUGUUUUGGUUCCAAAGCCAGUGCUUUUUCCCAUAUAUGCUAAAUGGGGCUCUGAUUCCCGAUCCUUAAAGGAGAAAAUUAUUUGAAAAUAUAAUCAAAACAUCACAUUCCUGGAGUCUAAAAUAAAAUUCUCUCAAGUA